GGGCCCGCACAAGCGGUGGAGCAUGUGGCUUAAUUCGAGGCAACGCGAAGAACCUUACCUGGUCUUGACAUGCCCGUCAUAGUUUUCCGAAAGGAAUUCGUCAGUUCGGCUGGACGGUGCACAGGUGCUGCAUGGCUGUCGUCAGCUCGUGUCGUGAGAUGUUCGGUUAAGUCCGGCAACGAGCGCAACCCUCGUUCCUAGUUGCCAGCGGGUAAUGCCGGGGACUCUAGGAAGACAAACCUCGUGUAGAGGUGGGAAGGUGGGGACGACGUCAAGUCAGUAUGGCCCUUACGACCAGGGCUGCACACGUGCUACAAUGCCCGGUACAAUGGGAUGCAAUACCGCGAGGUUGAGCCAAUCCCAUAAAACUAACUCAGUUCGGAUUGGAGUCUGCAACUCGACUCCAUGAAGUCGGAAUCGCUAGUAAUCGU
rnacentral:rRNA from 1 species